rnacentral:rRNA from 1 species
GCGGACGGGUGAGUAAUGCUUGGGAAUCUGGCUUAUGGAGGGGGAUAACUGUGGGAAACUGCAGCUAAUACCGCGUAUUCUCUGAGGAGGAAAGGGUGGGACCUUAGGGCCACCUGCCAUAAGAUGAGCCCAAGUGGGAUUAGGUAGUUGGUGGGGUAAAGGCCUACCAAGCCUGCGAUCUCUAGCUGGUCUGAGAGGAUGACCAGCCACACUGGAACUGAGACACGGUCCAGACUCCUACGGGAGGCAGCAGUGGGGAAUAUUGCGCAAUGGGGGGAACCCUGACGCAGCCAUGCCGCGUGAAUGAAGAAGGCCUUCGGGUUGUAAAGUUCUUUCGGUAAUGAGGAAGGGAUGUUGUUAAAUAGAUAGCAUCAUUGACGUUAAUUACAGAAGAAGCACCGGCUAACUCCGUGCCAGCAGCCGCGGUAAUACGGAGGGUGCGAGCGUUAAUCGGAAUAACUGGGCGUAAAGGGCACGCAGGCGGACUUUUAAGUGAGAUGUGAAAUCCCCGAGCUUAACUUGGGAACUGCAUUUCAGACUGGGAGUCUAGAGUACUUUAGGGAGGGGUAGAAUUCCACGUGUAGCGGUGAAAUGCGUAGAGAUGUGGAGGAAUACCGAAGGCGAAGGCAGCCCCUUGGGAAUGUACUGACGCUCAUGUGCGAAAGCGUGGGG